rnacentral:rRNA from 1 species
GACGUAGGGCGCGAGCGUUGUCCGGAUUUAUUGGGCGUAAAGAGCUCGUAGGCGGCUUGUCGCGUCGACUGUGAAAACCCGCGGCUUAACUGCGGGCCUGCAGUUGAUACGGGCAGGCUAGAGUUCGGUAGGGGAGACUGGAAUUCCCGGUGUAGCGGUGAAAUGCGCAGAUAUCGGGAAGAACACCCGUGGCGAAGGCGGCUCUCUGGGACGGUACUGACGCUGAGACGCGAAAGCGUGGGGAGCGAACAGG